ensembl:snoRNA
CCGAUACAAUGAUGAUAACAUAGUUCAGCAGACAAAAUGGUGGUGAGCACACAUGUCUUUCGCUCCUAUCUGAUGUAUCUG